CAUUACGGACGUCCGUUUGAGCUCAGCGCUCGAGAGGACGACGAUUAAAUUGAAUCAAAAAGAAGAAAUGUGGUUUACGGUGCUGUCCGGGCCUGCGCUAUUCUCCGCCAGGAGAAAUGGACUCUGGAGUGCAGCAUUACUUCAUUAAGAUGAAAAUAACACACCUGUAUGAUUCAAGAUGUCAAGCCCCCUGAACGCAAAGAGAGUCUGCAUCAAAAUGGACGUGCCCCUGAUUGAAAACCAACACGAUCACACGAAAAUGCGUAUAAAUAGUACGAGUGUGUAAUCUCGUAGAAUAUAUACG